UACGUAGGGUGCGAGCGUUGUCCGGAAUUAUUGGGCGUAAAGAGCUCGUAGGCGGUUUGUCGCGUCGGCCGUGAAAACUUGGGGCUUAACUCCAAGCUUGCGGUCGAUACGGGCAGACUUGAGUUCGGCAGGGGAGACUGGAAUUCCUGGUGUAGCGGUGAAAUGCGCAGAUAUCAGGAGGAACACCGGUGGCGAAGGCGGGUCUCUGGGCCGAUACUGACGCUGAGGAG
rnacentral:rRNA from 1 species